rnacentral:rRNA from 1 species
AUGAACGCUGGCGGCGUGCCUAAUCCAUGCCAGUCGAGCGAACAGACGAGGAGCUUGCUCCUCUGACGUUAGCGGCGGACGGGUUAGUACCACGUGGAUAACCUACCUAUAAGCCUGGGAUAACUUCGGGAAACCGGAGCUAAUACCGGAUAAUAUAUUGAACCGUCUGGUUUAUUUGUGAAAGACGGUUUUGCUGUCACUUAUAGAUGGAUCCGCGCCGCAUUAGCUAGUUGGUAAGGUAACGGUUUACCAAGGCAACGAUGCGUAGUCGACCUGAGAGGGUGAUCGGCCACACUGGAACUGAGACACGGUCCAGACUCCUACGGGAGGCAGCAGUAGGGAAUCUUCCGCAAUGGGCGAAAGCCUGACGGAGCAACGCCGCGUGAGUGAUGAAGGUCUUCGGAUCGUAAAACUCUGUUAUUAGGGAAGAACAAAUGUGUAAGUAACUAUGCACGUCUUGACGGUACCUAAUCAGAAAGCCACGGCUAACUACGUG